UCGGUUUUUGUCCACUUCUUCUAUGAUAUUCAAGUUCGGAAGUAUUUGGAUUAUUUUACCCCCAUGAGAUAUUUGUUUUCAACCCCCUCCUUUUUUUUUUUUUUUUUGAAAAUCUCUUAUCUGUUACAAAAAUCAGUAGAAUUACGGCUAGAGCUAAUACGUGUUUUUUUGUCGAUUACCAUAAUAUGAUUUGUAAAUAUGUAGUUGAAAAUAUAGUUUAUGCGUUUUAAAUGUCUAGUGGCGAUAAACCAUAUAUGACCUAUGAAAUCCGAUGAGUCGUUAUUUUAAUUAUGCCCAUGACAGCAAAACAUGAUCGUAUAUCACUAUAUGAUCAUAAUUUAAUACAAAUAAUACGUCUUAAUUUUUCAUUUAUAGUUGACACAUUUACUGUA